rnacentral:lncRNA from 1 species
ACGAGGUGACUUUAGCUGAAAAAAAUUAGUGUAGUUAACUUUAACGGUCAACUGUUAAAGUUAACGGCCAAAGAGCAUUUUUGAUGCAUUUUACAGUUCAAUUACCUAAUUAAGUGCGAAAAAAAUUAAAGGCUUAAUUGCUUUUUCAAAAAAAAAUUUGAAGGUCGUUUUAAUGCAUUUUGAAAGUUCAAGUACCCAAUUGAGUGUAAAAAAAAAAGCAGGGGCUUAAUUGUUUUUUUUUUAAGUUUGAGAGACUUUUUG